rnacentral:lncRNA from 1 species
CUCCUAGUACAGGGGUAUCAUUAUGGUUACUGGGUCUUCUCUCUCCUCCUAGUACAGGGGUAUCAUUAUGGUUACUGGGUCUUCUCCCCCUCUCUCCUCCUAGUACAGGGGUAUCAUUAUGGUUACUGGGUCUUCUCCCUCUCCUCCUAGUACAGGGGUAUCAUUAUGGUUACUGGGUCUUCUCCCUCUCUCUUCCUAGUACAGGGGUAUCAUUAUGGUUACUGGGUCUUCUCCCCCUCUCUCCUCCUAGUACAGGGGUAUCAUUAUGGUUACUGGGUCUUCUCCCUCUCUCCUCCUAGUACAGGGGUAUCAUUAUGGUUACUGGGUCUUCUCCCCUCUCUCCUCCUAGUAGAGGGGUAUCAUUAUGGUUACUGGGUCUUCUCCCCCCCUCUCCUCCUAGUACAGGGGUAUCAUUAUGGUUACUGGGUCUUCUCCCUCUCUCCUCCUAGUACAGGGGUAUCAUUAUGGUUACUGGGUCUUCUCCCUCUCUCCUCCUAGUACAGGGGUAUCAUUAUGGUUACUGGGUCUUCUCCCUCUCUCCUCCUAGUACAGGGGUAUCAUUAUGGUUACUGGGUCUUCUCCCCUCUCUCCUCCUAGUACAGGGGUAUCAUUAUGGUUACUGGGUCUUCUCCCCUCUCUCCUCCUAGUACAGGGGUAUCAUUAUGGUUACUGGGUCUUCUCCCCCUCUCCUCCUAGUACAGGGGUAUCAUUAUGGUUACUGGGUCUUCUCUCUCCUCCUAGUACAGGGGUAUCAUUAUGGUUACUGGGUCUUCUCCCCCUCUCUCCUCCUAGUACAGGGGUAUCAUUAUGGUUACUGGGUCUUCUCCCUCUCUCCUCCUAGUACAGGGGUAUCAUUAUGGUUACUGGGUCUUCUCUCUCCUCCUAGUACAGGGGUAUCAUUAUGGUUACUGGGUCUUCUCCCCCUCUCUCCUCCUAGUACAGGGGUAUCAUUAUGGUUACUGGGUCUUCUCCCC